GUCCAUGCCGUAACGAUGUCUACUAGCCGUUGGGCCUUUGAGGCUUUAGUGGCGCAGCUAACGCGAUAAGUAGACCGCCUGGGAGUACGGUCGCAAGACUAACUCAAUGAAUUGACGGGGCCCGCACAAGCGGUGGAGCAUGUGGUUUAAUUCGAAGCAACGCGAAGAACCUUACCUGGCCUUGACAUGCUGAGAACUUUCCAGAGAUGGAUUGGUGCCUUCGGGAACUCAGACACAGGUGCUGCAUGGCUGUCGU
rnacentral:rRNA from 1 species